GUCGAUAUGACAGUCCUAGUGGUUAAGGAGACAGACUCCAAAUCUGUUGGGCUUUGCCUGCGCAAAUUCGAAUCAUGCUGUCGACC
rnacentral:tRNA from 1 species